GCAGUACUUAAUGUAAUGCUUACAGCGUAUGAAUUAGUAGGAACAGUGAGUUGGACAGGCUUCUUGCAGAGGUAGAUGGUUAACUGCUGAGAGAGUUCUGGACUGAGGAUCUGUUCCAGCAAACUGCAGCAGCAGAUGAAGCUGCUUUAGAGCCUUUUGCUGUACUGAAUGAUGUCUUGACUUGUGAGGAGCGUUGGGGCAGUGGAUAGAGCUCUCAAUCUGAUUGUGAAUUGGGACAAAUGAUUUGUAGCUUAAAGGUGGUGAGUUUAGGGGUCACAAGAUUGUGUUUGGGUCAAGUCAGAGGUGGAAGAGACUGGACAUCAAGUUUGUUGUUGGAUCUUGAAAGGAAAGGAUCAUGGUGGUUUUGCUGAGUGUGGGCUUGGUGAUUUGAGUUGGGCUGUGUGAGAGGGUCUGAAGAGCAACAUUUAUUGUUUGUCUUCCAAGCCUACAAGAUGAGAGUGGGGGUGAUUGUGGUCAGCCUGCUAGCAAAUGAUGAAGAGCCGACAGGUUUGUCCUGAGAGAGGUUGUUAUUAGCAGUAACAUGGGGAGCGUUAACACCCUCAAGGAGAUGUACAGUCAGAUGUCCAGAAGUGCUCUAAAAACCAGCGUCUGUAACCUGAAAUAAAUAACUUCAAAAGGAAGACUUGCCAAGUACUUGUGGAUAAGAGGUGCAAAGGCUUCCAAAUGCCUUCCACAGAGAUAAAAUCCUACCUACCUGCUUCACUGUCACUGCACCAUGAAUCUGAAUUAUCUUGACUUCUAAUCUGUGAAAUACAGGGUCAGAAAUAAAAAUAUUACCUGCUGUCUAGAAGGCGGCAGCAACUACAGGCAGUUUGGAAAGUUGUUCCAGUUCCUCUGAACAGUAGAAGCAGUGCAAAGUGACCAGCGAUGGAGACUGACGAGUGGAGAGGAGUAUGGAAGAAGCGAAAAUUUAAGCAAAAACUUCUGAAGUCAACAAAAGGAACUGUAUAUUUUUAUUGUAAUGCUAUCUUCUAUGCUCUUUAUCUUCCCCAGCAAUAGAGAAAGCUUGAAGAACUGAUUAAAUGACUCUCAGGAUAACUUUUUGAUCAGGUAAUAUAAAUUGCCAUGGAAGCUGGAGAAGUACAGCUCACAAUAAGGGAGCUAAGAUUCCUCCAGCCCACACAGAGAUUUAAAAUCAAAUCUUGAAGCAUGGAUAAAAAUAUAUACAGAAGGAAUGAAAAACAAUGAGUGCUAAUGCGUCCUACAAUAUUUCCCACAUUAUUUCUCUUCUUGUUGAUCACGGCUGUGAUCUUUUCUUCAUAAUUUUGAAGUCAAACUCUAAGAAAAAUAUGACAACUAUUUUUUUUUUUUGCUUGUUUGUUUGUUUUGAGCCCAUCAGGCUUUUAAGCUGAAGGUUUUACUGCGGAGCACUAUGAUACGUUUACAAUGGCAGCUUCUCAGUCAACGUGUACCUGUGUGCAUUUACAGAAAAACAUGUGCCUCACAAAGUAGAAAAUACAUUUUAAAUUACUUUUUGACGCAUUUUGGCUUGCUUGCAAUUCAUCCUUGCAUUUUCCCUAUUGAAUUAUUUAUUAAUCUCUGGCUGUUUUAUUGAAGGGGUUAUACAGGCAUCACUGAAGACAUUCGAUGAAGAAACUGAACAAAGCUGUCCUGGAGAGACAAGGCUCCACAAAUCAAUUAGCUCUUUCUUUCCAGCAGUGAUAGACAGGGAAAGCCUGUCUUGAGCUUGCAUACUUGGUAAUGGUGCCAGCUGUUGCUUAUAAGCGGUGUGAUGGUGAUUGCUGAUUGCCUUGUGGUGCUGCCUGAGGAAUUACAUGAGUGGCAGGGAGGGAAGAAGAUGUGGCACCUCUCCUGGAGAGUGGUAGCUCAUGUUUAUUAACCAGUCCCUGCUGGUAUGUUUUUUAUUUAGAUUUAAUAUUAAACAAAACACCUGUGCAAAAGCCCAAGAUCCUCUUCAGAAGUAAUUAGAUUUGCAAUUGCUGCCCAGCAGCACAAGGAUGAAUGUACCAAUAAAUGAACUCUGCUAGCCUACGCCAGUGAGAACAGCAAUUUAGCCCAGCAGAUGAAAAUAGAAUUGCAAUGAAGCCUCUCAUUUCCAAGGCCAUCCAAGAA
ensembl:lncRNA